GUUUGGACUGGUGAGGCUUAAUGUUCUGGCCAACUGGCAGCAGAAACACACUGAUGAAACUCAUGAAGAAUGAGGAAGGAAACCGGGAUGCUGAUGAGAGUGUGGAAAGGAUGUGUGUUGUGAGCAAACUACUGUGCUCAGUAUUGAGUAGCCUACCCGUGCUUGCUUCAGUUCAACCAGCCUGUGUAGUCACACACAUGUGAAUGUCGAUGGUGGUGAAUUGCACUUAAGAGAAAAAUUUAGAAAGUCAAAGAUUGGGUGCUUUAUGGAAAAGUGUUAUUGUGAAGCAAGACUCAAUCUAAUACUGAAUCUAGAGUCCAGAGGAAAUUAAAAUACAGGUCCAUGGCUAUGCUGGCAUACUUCAUCCUCACGCAGGCAAAUCCUAUUAAGGAUCAAUGAGGAGGAAACAGCCUGGUCACCUCUAAGCGUACUGGGAAACCACGGAAUGUGAACAACAAGACCGCAGUAACGCAUUGCUGGGGACUUUGUAGUUUAUGCUAAUUGCAGGCCAACUACAGAAGAAGAAAAGGCAACCUCACAGACCCAAGCCCACAGAGAGGUGGUUGUCCUCUUGCUUUUCCUGGGUCAGACCCCAUGUUUAUGCAAACUGGCAGCAUAUUCUGAGAAGUUCCAUGAUUCUCUUUAGGUGAGAUCUCCAUGGAUAAGGGGGAAGGAAGGUAGGGUGAGAACAGGAAGAAAAAAAUCAAAGA